rnacentral:lncRNA from 1 species
AGAAACAUUCAACCAAAACAAUGUUAACCGUUUCUAACGGUAAUAAAGAAAAAGAAAACUACAAAAGAAAAACAAAAAAGGAAAGAUUGGCCAAAGUGACUAACGGAUGACCUAAAGAUAGCGCAACAUAACAGCGCAUCAUAAAGACAGCGCUGCGCAACAUAACACCAACGCAACAUAACAACAGCGCUGUUGUUAAAUACAUCGCAACAUAAAGACAGCGCAUCAUAAGACAGCACAACAUAACAACAGCGCUGUGCAACAUAAGACAACGCAACAUAACAGUGCAACAUAACAACAGCGCAACAUAACAGCGCAACAUAACAACAGCGCAACAUAACAGCGCAACAUAACAACAGCG